rnacentral:lncRNA from 1 species
AAGCUCCUGAGCUCCUUCAACAUCUCAUCAUAGGAGAGCAGACCAUCCUUAUUUGUGUCGAGCCGAGCAAACCGAUUUCCUACCGAGCUAUUAAAUGCUUCUUCAUCUUCAAGGAAAUGGACAAUUGUGGCACCAUCCAAAAUUUCUACACUCAUCUUUCACUUCUACUUGAUGUCAAAAAUGGAAGGUAGUUUGUAUUGACAAAUAUAGUUUUGUGUUUGCAAAUGCUUGUGAUUUGAUGAGAAGAGUUGGAUCCUUCCAUGUAUAUAUAACCAUUAACAAUUGUUUCCAGAAGAAUAUAUUCUUUAACUACUAACAUGGUAUAGAAACCAUGUGCUUUUUGUGUACCUUGCAUCUAUUAUUUUAUUUUAUAGUCCAACCGUUAAAAUUGGAUGCUUUCUUCAACUGUUGGCUCCUGAUUGUUGAAAUUGUUCCGUGUCGGUAAUCCACGGAUAUACCAAAGAUAUGAUGAUAUGAAUACAUUAUUUAUAACACUUACGUUUUAUCUAUGUCGUAAACUUAAGUCAGUUGGUAGAGACAUUGCGUAAUAUAUGUAUGAGCCAUAUUUCAAACUCUGAAUAUUUCAUUUAUUCAUCUGAAAAAGUUGAAUUUCUAGUCAUUAGAUUAUCUGACAAAAAAAACAAAAACUUAUGUUCUAUCUUAUAUUGGCAAAAAAAUUAAUCUCAUAACCUAGUAUUCAGUUCAAAUUCACUCGAGAAGUAUUGUAAAAUGAUAAUUAGCGUUACUUUAAUUAAUAAAAUAUUUUCUUCUCAAUUUCUAUUAAAAUAUAUUAUUUGCAUAACAAUGAAACUUCAGGUCGUGAAGUCAGCGUUGGAAGACUAAUGCCCUCGUUUUAGUGUAUGCCAAUUUCAAACGAGUAAAGUAGGUUGGAAAUAAUUUAUUGGACGUGGUGUUUUGUUGAAUGUCUUAAACAAUGGGUACCCAUUGAUUAUUUUAAUAUUAUUCAAAGAACUAAAAUUAUUAUGCUUUACAAAGGAUCUUCUUGGUUUAUUCUUCUUAUUUUUCUUUUCUUGUCGGAACAUUUUGCCUAGGGGUGGCAAUAUGAUCCAUGAGAUCCAUAUCCAUCCAAUUUAUCCAUCAAAAUUUUUUUUUGUUAAAGGAUUGGAUUUGAUCCAUCCAUUAAACACUAUGGAUGAAUUUGAUCCAUCCACCUUAAUUUAAAAAUCCAAUGGAUCACCUCUUUAAAUUAAAAAAGUUUAAUAGAUAACUUCAAAAAAUAUUAAUCUUUUUUAUUUAAAUAAUUAUAUUUUUGAUUAUCACCUUUUUUUUAACUAAACAAUUAUUUUUAAUAAUUAAAUCAUCUCUCUCCCACUUUUUUUAAUUUCAAAAACAGCUUAUUCAUGAAAAACAGUUUAUUUAUGCAAAACAACUUAUUACGAUCUCAUUUUCAAAAACAGCUUAUUCAAAACAAUUUAUUUAUGCAAAACAACUUAUUACGAUCUCAUUUUCAAAAACAGCUUAUUUAUGCAAAACAACUUAUUAAUAUCUCAUUUUCAAAAACAGCUUAUUCAAAACAACUUAAUUAUGCAAUACAGCUUAUUAUGAUCUCAUUUUCAAAAACAGCUUAUUCAAAACAGCUUAUUUAUGCAAAACAGCUUAUUACGAUCUCAUUUUCAAAAACAGCUUAUUCAAAACAACUUAUUUAUGCAAAACAACUUAUUACGAUCUCAUUUUCAAAAACAGCUUAUUUAUGCAAAACAACUUAUUAAUAUCUCAUUUUCAAAAACAACUUAUUCAAAACAACUUAAUUAUGCAAAACAGCUUAUUAUGAUCUCAUUUUCAAAAACAGCUUAUUCAAAACAGCUUAUUUAUGCAAAACAGCUUAUUACGAUCUCAUUUUCAAAAACAGCUUAUUCAAAACAACUUAUUUAUGCAAAACAGCUUAUUACGAUCUCAUUUUCAAAAACAGCUUAUUCAAAACAACUUAUUUAUGCAAAACAGCUUAUUACGAUCUCAUUUUCAAAAACAGCUUAUUCAAAACAACUUAUUUAUGCAAAACAGCUUAUUACGAUCUCAUUUUCAAAAACAGCUUAUUCAAAACAGCUUAUUUAUGCAAAACAGCUUAUUACGAUCUCAUUUUCAAAAACAGCUUAUUCAAAACAACUUAUUUAUGCAAAACAGCUUAUUACGAUCUCAUUUUCAAAAACAGCUUAUUCAAAACAACUUAUUUAUGCAAAACAGCUUAUUACGAUCUCAUUUUCAAAAACAGCUUAUUCAAAACAACUUAUUUAUGCAAAACAGCUUAUUACGAUCUCAUUUUCAAAAACAGCUUAUUCAAAACAACUUAUUUAUGCAAAACAGCUUAUUACGAUCUCAUUUUCAAAAACAGCUUAUUCAAAACAACUUAUUUAUGCAAAACAGCUUAUUACGAUCUCAUUUUCAAAACCACUUAUUUAUGAAAAAUAGCUUAUUACGAUCUCAUUUUUAUAAACAGCUUAUUCGAAACAUCGUAUAAUAAGUCGUUUUGCAUAAUUAAGUUGUUUUGAAUAAUCUGUUUUUGAAAAUGAGAUCAUAAUAAGCUAUUUUGCAUAAUUAAGCUGUUUUGAAUAAGCUGUUUUUGAAAAUGAGAUCAUAAUAAGCUAUUUUGCAGAAAUAAGUUGUUUCUGAAAAAGAGAUCGAAAUAAGCUGUUUUGCAUAAAUAAGCUGUUUUUGAAAAUGAGAUCAUAAUAAGCUAUUUUACAUAAUUAAGUUGUUUUGAACAAGUUGUUUCUGAAAAUGAGAUCGAAAUAAGUUGUUUUGCAUAAAUAAGAUGUUUUGAAUAAGCUGUUUUUGAAAAUGAGAUCAUAAUAAGCUGUUUUGCAUAAAUAAACUAUUUCUGAAAAUGAGAUCGAAAUAAGCUGUUUUGCAUAAAUAAGAUGUUUUGAAUCAGUUGUUUUUGAAAAUGAGAUCAUAAUAAGUUGUUUUGCUUAAAUGAGUUGUUUUGAAUAAGCUGUUUUUGAAAAUGAGAUCAUAAUAAGUUCUUUUGCAUAAAUAAGUUGUUUUUCAUAAAUAAGUUGUCUUUCAAAAGAGAUCCUAAUAAGUUGUUUUUAUAUAAAUAAGCUGUUUUUUUAAAAAGAGACCGUAAUAAGUUAUUUUGUAUAAGAUAAUUUUUUUUGAUAAUACACCUAUCAAAAAAAUUAAUACAAAUUUAAAAAAAAUAAUACAUCUAUAAAAAAAAUAUACACUUUGAUUUAUGGAUCGGGUGGAUUAUCCAUCCAUUAAAAUCUAAUAAUGGAUGGAUUGGAUGGACUUUAUUCUAAUUGGAUGGACUGGAUGGUUUUUUUUAAGAAAAAAGAAUAGUGGAUUGUAAUGGACUAAUGAACCUUUUUUGAUCCAUCCAUUAGGAUCCAAAUCCAUAUCCAUCCAAUCCAUCCAUUUUGCCACCCCUAAUUUUGCCCCGUGAUUAGUAGUAAAUGACGAUAAUAUAAAAUAUGCUUUUGAAAGAAACCAAACAAUAAUAACCAUUCAAAUCUUAUUCUACUAAGUAGCGUUUUUUUAGUUUUUUGUUGAAGGCAUCCUACUAUGUAGCCUUAGUGAUCAAAUGACCUGUCCCCGUGAGUUUAGCUCAGUUGAUAAGGACAAUGCAUAAUAUAUGUAAAGUCCAGGGUUCGAAUCUCGACCACCACCAAAAAAAGCGAUUAAAUGACAGCGUUAAUGUUAAUAUGAUGAUGUAUAAAGAACAUAUGCCUUGCACCAUAUACAAAGUUAUUUCAAUCAUUUGAUCAAUAAAUCUCAUUAUUUAAUUAAAUGAAAUAUGAUGAGAUUUAACGAUACAAUGGUGGAAAAUAAGUUUGUGCGUGGUACAAAACUAAUUUGCGUGUGCACAUUAGACAAAACCAUGUAUAUCUCUAUCUAACAGAUUCUCUGAAUCUUUCUUGAUAGUUUCUCAUAUAGUUUUUCUAGACAUUCAUUUACCUCUGGUGAUUUGACUAUCCUUCCUUAUUACAACACUCUCUACUAAACCAAUCAAAGCCGAGUUUUCACCAUAUUUUCUACUAUAGUCUUACCACAUUUUUAACACAACAUUCUCAUCUCUACUAAACCAAUUUUAUUCUUUUAUUCACUCUUUACCAUCCAACACUCUCUGCUGCUACUACAUCUUUGGUCUUAUUGUUGUACAAUAAAAAAUUCCUUUAUCUUGAAAAAUACUUUUGUAUUUUAUAAAACACACAAGAUCCUCUCCAUUUAAGACGCUCCACUUGAAGCCGAUUGUUUGCAUAUUCUACUUCUCUAUCAUUUUAGACUUUGUAUCAUUCAUAUAUAUAUGGUGUAACUCGUGGAAUGAUACGAUCUCUAACAUUUACUUGUACAUAGAAAUGUUCCACCUUUUGCUAAAAUCACAUUCCAUAUACUACGUAUAGCUUUCACUUAUGUAAAAGUCAUAAGUUUAUGGCUUGCUUCCAAGUCUCUAGCUUCCAAUUUAAUUCCUCAUCCGACUCUCAAAGUAUGACUAUAUCAUCUUUAAAAACAUGCAUCCUGGUGCCGACUCUUGAAUGUGAUUCGUAGGUACGCCUAAAAGUAAAGUAAAAAUAUAAGGACUUCAACUAGACCCUUGGUGAGUCCUAUAGUUAUGGAAAAAUAUUUUGUCCCCACCCUGAGUCCUUACACUAGUCGUGACCCCUUUGUACAUCUUUAUUUUCUAUGACUUUAUAUGCAAUAUCUUUUUGUACUAUAUCACACAUCAUCUACAAAUAAAUUACAACUAAGUGUAUGUCUUUUUGAUCCCUCAUAUGCCACAAUAAGUAAAACGCUUCCAUGUUGACCUCCAAGAUAUAAAAUCAAAUUGAUUAUCAUUAUCUUUACUCUUUUUUCUUAGGUUUUGCUCAAGCAUUCUUUCUCAUAACUUCAUAGCAUGACUCAUAAGUUUAAUCCUCCUAUAAUUUGUACAAUUUUAUAUAUCUUAAGUGUUCUUAUAAAUCGAAAUUAAAGUGUUUCUUUUCUAAUCAUCUGAGAUUUUCUUUGAUCUCUUAAUCUCGUUAAAACUUUGAGAGGCAUCCAAUGUCUCUAUGUCUAAGAGUUUUUCAUACCUUAAUAGGUACGUUGUCCGACUCAAUUGGUUUGUCAAUAUUCAUACUUUUUAGUGCUUCUUUUAUCUCUUGUUAUUGAAUUUGAAGAUAAAAGGUAUAACUCCUGACUCGAUUAUAAGAAGAAAAAGAAAUACUCAUAUUUGUCCGACUCAAACAUAAGCAAGAGUCAACUAAUUUUUUUUUUACUUUUUAAAUAUCUUUACAUUAAUUUUUUAAUGUUGUGAAAAGAUCAUCAUUAAUUAUGCAUAGUUUUUUGGGGAAUGGAUCCUCUGCACUGACCGCAGGGUUCAGUUAAAUCUGAGCCUUUGAACAAAAAUAAAUGCUUGGAAAUAUAAAUGUUAAAAUUUGAAAUUAGGAGAAAUAAUGAAUUUAAUGGUGUAGUUACAUGAAAACAAAAAAAAUUAAAUGGCCUUUAACUACUAUUUUCUAGUCAAUUAACCUAGUGAUUAAUGGUGAAUAAAUGAAGUGGUGAGGUUCAAACUACAACACCUGUUUUGAUGUAAUGUCCUUUUCAAUUGAGUUAAACUCAUUGAUACAUAUCAUCCUUAAUAUGCAUGAAAGUAAGUAAUUUUGCAUAUUAUUGAGUUUAAUGGGAGUAUAAUUUUGGCCAUCAUCUCUAAUGUCUAGUAUUUUAGAGUCUUUAUGUUAGAGUCCGAUUGAAUCUAAUAACAUUCAUUGGAAAUAAUCAUUCCAUCUAUCCUAAAAUUUUGAAUUCUGCUCUUUACCCAACAGUUUUUUCUCAUUCUCAACUGAAAAGACAAUUUUACACCUACGUAAGUUAACUGAUGUUAGUUCAAAAUUCUGCGUGACUUAAGUCAUGCCGCGUGAAUUAAGUCACGCUAGUGUUAAUAUCAACGUGAGUUAACUCACGCUAGUUCAAAAUCCUGCGUGACUUAAAUCACUAUGCGUUAAUGUUAAUCUAAGCGUGGGUUAACUCACGCAACUUUUGUGCUCGUACCAGAACAAUCAGGAGUGCCUUGUUCCCUGUUUUCCCAAGUUCCUUAACCAAAACUCACAAUUUAAAGAACAUUCAUUCAACAAUUCAUUAAAUCAUGCAUUCAUUCAUUCAUAAUUAAGAUAUGCAAUAUUAACCAAAUCAAACAAUUUCAAAUACUUAAAACUACCAAAUUUCACUCCAAACAACUUCUAAAAUACAAUUCCUAACUUAAUUCAUCACUAACAAUCAUAAAAACUAACAUGCAAGACAAAUUUAUAAAAACUUAAAAAUGUUAAAUUUCUUAAAAAAAAGGCUUAAAUAUGUAAAUCGUCCCUGUAAUUUGGUGUGUUUUUGGUUUUCGUCCCUGUAUCUUUUUUUGUUCUAAAACAACCCCUAUAAGUUAAUAACUUUUUUAUUUUCGUCCCUCUCGUCAACUUCCGUUACAAAAACGCACAUGUGGCAAACGGAGGAUGACGUGGUAGUGUCUGACGUGGCAAACUUAUUGAUGAGUCACACAGUAAAAAGGACGAAAAUCAAAAAACGAAAUUUGUCGAAGGACCAAAGUCAAAAAAACAAAAUUCGUAAAGGGACCAAAACAAAAACCAAAACCAAAAAACGAAAUUUGUAGAGGGACCAAAACCAAAAAACGAGAAGACGAAAAAUUCAAAUUUAAUUACAUUUCUUCAUCUUCUUCCCACAUCUUCUUCUUCAUUACUAUCAUUGUCUUCAUAAACUUCAUCAUCAUUAUCAAACAAACACGUAAAUUCAUCACUUCAAAAUCCUAAAAUCCAUCAACUCAAAACAACAACAAACUCAAUCUAACACCUUCAAUUAUACCUUCAUGUGAUAACUUCUCUUUUAUUUCUUCUCACAAACAACAAAAUCAAAUUAAACCAAUAUACCCACUGUUCAAUGUGCAAUCCAAUUUCACACACUUUAAAAUCGUUUAAAAUAAAACUUAUCUCAAUUCAACAUUCCAACAUAUUUUUCAAUUCUAUUUAUUAUCCCUGUAGAUCUUCAAAUGAAAAGAAUAUUCAUAUCAAACUUGAACCUUUUUCUUAUAAUUCAAUUUCACACAACAAUCUUUCAAAUAAACUGGAAAAAAAGAACACGACCCAAAUGUUCGAAACAAAAAUGAUGAGAUUAGAGUUCAAAGAAUUGACGAAGAAAGCAUUUGGAGUGACCAAGAAACAUUAGAGAUGCGAGAUCAAUGAUGAGACGAGAGUUGGUAAUGAAAAAAAAAUCAUUCUUUAGGUUUUUCAAUUUGAGAAUUUUGUGAAUUUUUUCAAUAUUGGGAAUUCGAGCAUUCACAAUGAGGAUUUUGUUGUUAUAAUUUGAUUUUGAUAUUAACAAUAAAAGUUUAUUUGAGACUAUGAACAUUGUGAAUUUUAGUGUUGAGAUGUCAAUCUGACCAUUGUCAAUGGAGAUUUUGUUUGGGUUUGUGAGAAGUUGUCUAUUGAGAAUGAGAUGAUGAUUUUGAGGUUUUUUUUUUUUUUUAUUUUUUUUUUUUUAUCUCUUUUAUGAGUAUUUUUUCCUGGGCUUUUUGAUGAAUUUAUGAAGACAAUGAUGAAGAUGUAAAAGAGGUGGAAGGAAGAAGAUGAAGAAAGCUAUUUUUUUCUCGCUUUUUGGUUUUGGUCCCUUUACGAAUUUCGUUUUUUUGACUUUGGUCCCUCUACAAAUUUUGUUUUUUUUUUGUUUUGGUCCCUCUCACUGGGUGACUCAUCAAUAAGUUUGCCACGUCAGCAUCGUCUGCCACGUCAGGCACUGUCACGUCAUCCUCCGUUUGCCACAUGUGCGUUUUUGUAACGGAAGUUGACGGGAGUGACGAAAAUCAAAAAGUUAUUAACUUACAGGGGUUGUUUUAGAACAAAAAAAGAUACAGGGACAAAAACCAAAAACAAGCCAAAUUACAGGGACGAUUUACAUAUUUAAGCUACAAAAAAAAAAACUAAUUUUUCAACCAAAAAAAUGCAAUGAAGUAGUUUAAUAAUCACUUACUUGAUAUGUGGGAGAAAUUGGCUUUGAAUGGCGCAAGAAUGAUGAAAUUCGGAUUUGGGGGCAAAAAAUUCAAAGUUGGGAAGUUUAGGAAAUAAGGGAACUGAGUUUUCGUUUUGCUGAUAAAUGACUUAAGUCAUGUAGCGCGAGUUAACUCACGCAGCCUGACUUAAGUCACACAAAGGACACAACUAGCGUGAGUUAACUCACGCAGGUGCAAUUUCGGAAUUUCAGUUGGGGGCGGGCAAUUUCUGUUGGGUAAAGAGCAGAAUUCUAACAUUUUUUACGUGAACCCUUCUUCAUCUUUCAUAUACUUCACUUGGUGCAAAUCUCUCGUCUUUCUUUCCCUCCCUUUAGCAAGCAUAUAUACUUAUAGAAUUUCCUCCCUUCUUAAUACUCAGGCUUUGUUUGGAUGGUAAAGGAAAGUUUAAGGAAAGAAAGUGAAAGUUAGGAAUGAUUGUUAUAGGAAAGAAAGUGAAAAGAAAGUGAGUGGAAAAUCUAAUGAUUUUUUAGUUGUUUGGUAUGAGUGAUAGUGAAAGGAAUGAAAGAUUUAUAUUUAAUAAAAUGACUAAAAUAUCCCUAUAAAAAGGUGAUAUGUAUAUAAUUUAAAAUUAUAAUUUUAUUAAUAGUUAAAAACUACAUAACCGUACAAUUUUUAUUUUGAUAGAACACAACCAUAAGAAUUUACUUUCAUUACUUAUAUUUUAAUUUUAAUUUAAUAUAUUUUAAUUUAAUGUCACAUUGAAAAGCAAUUGCCUUCGUGGGCUUUUAUAUAAUUUUGCUCAAAAUAGUGCAAUCACCAUACUUUCUAUUCUCAACAGGGCAUAAACAUUUUUGGUGUGGGACCCAUCGAUAAAUACCUUUCCUCCCCCUUUUUAUGGUGGUUCCAAACUAAGGAAAGAAUGUUAAUCCUACUACUUUCUAUCCUUCCUCAAUCUUUCCUUCUACUUUCACCCAAAACAAACAGGCCCUUAAGGAUUGGUAUGACCUUCACAAACUUUAGAACAUUCUAUUCUCAUUUUAAUUAACUUUAUUAUGCACCCAUUCAUUCCAUCACCACCAAAAUUCUUUACCCCUACGUCCAUAACCUCUUUGAUUCUCGCAACGUCUCUUCUGCUACUUUAUUAAUCCCUCGUGCCAUCUUGUCUCAUAUAUCAUUUCCACUUCACCGUGACCAUCUGAAACAUCCUUCUAAAACCUUGUGUGGGAAGAUAAUUUAUUUUUCAGUACUCAAAUACCACUUGGUAUAAAAUGAAUAACUUUCAUUUUGGUGAAUCAAAUUUUGGUUUUCACGUGAACUUUGUUUAGAUGCUUUAGAUGUUGGGUGAUAUUAAUUACUUACUGCUUGAUGGAAAUUGUCAAAUUCUUCAUAACUUUUUUUUGACAAUGCACAUUUGGAAUCCAUACCAAAGAUGUAAAAGCUCAGAUUAUGAUAUUUUAGUUUAUUUCAUGAAUACAUUCGGAAUCCAUAAUAAAACAGUUUUAAGGAGUUUCAAACUUCAAAGGUAUCAAUAUAACAAUACAAACAAAAUUGGAAUAGCACUUAAGCUGCCACGUUAUUGUACUCUCUUUCAACAGCUUUUUUGAGGAUGCUGUCUUUUUCCAAGACCAUUUGAAUUGGCAUGAAACCCAUCCCAUCUGCCAUUGCAAGCAUCAUCUGCUUAGUUUCUUUCUUGAAUUCUUCCAAAUCAAUUGUGCCAUUCAAGUUGUGAUCGAACUGUGUGAACAAAGAUUCAUAAACACGAGCAAGCUCAUUUGGGUCUGAAACCACAUCAAUACCAAAGUGUGUUUCAAAAACCCUCAAGCUCCGGAGCUCCUUCAACAUCUCUUCAUAGGAGAGAAGACCGUCGUUGUUUGUGUCGAGGCGAGCGAACCGAUUUCCUACCGAGCUAUUAAAUGCUUCUUCAUCUUCAAGGAAGUGGACAAUUGUGGCACCAUCCAAAAUUUCUACACUCAUCUUUCUUUUCUACUUGAUGUAAAAAAUGGAAGGUAGUUUGUAUUGACAAAUAUAGUUUUGUGUUUGCAAAUGCUUGUGAUUUGAUGAGAAGAGUUGGAUCCUUCCAUGUAUAUAUAACCAUUAACAAUUGUUUCCAGAAGAAUAUAUUCUUUAACUACUAACAUGGUAUAGAAACCAUGUGCUUUUUGUGUACCUUGCAUCUAUUAGUUUAUUUUAUUGUCCAACCGUUAAAAUUGGAUGCUUUCUUCAACUGUUGGCUCUUGAUUGUUGAAAUUGUUCCUUGUCAGUAAUCCACGGAUAUACCAAAGAUAUGAUUAUAUGAAUAUAUUAUAUAUAGCACUUACAUUCUGCAUGUCACGUUGAGCUUAGCUCAGUUGGUAGGGACCUAUGAAGUACGAAUAUGGACACGAACAUCGGACCCGACACAGACACACCGACACAACUAAUAAUUUGAAAAAAUAACAUAAUUCAGUGUAGUUACAAGUGCCGGUGUCGGACACGACACAUGUCCGACACCGAGACACGCCUAAUCCAAUUUGUGUUUCAUAGGUAGGGACAAUGUUAAAUAUAUAUAGACUGUAGUUCAAACAACCAAUACUUCAUUUAUUAAUCUCCGAUAAGUAUUUGUGCUUCAUAGGUAGGACAAUGUAUAAUAUAUAUAUAUAUACUGUAGUUCAAACAACCAAUACUUCAUUUAUUAAUCUCAAAUAGGUAAAUUUUUAGUCACUAGAUUAAUUGAUGAAUUUUUUUUUUUUACAUUCUAUCUAAUUGGUGAAAGAUUAAUCUAGUAACUUUAAGGUAUUUAGUUCAAAUUCACUGGAGGAUUAUUGUAAAAUGAUAAUUAGCGUUACUAUAAUUAAUAAAAUAUUUUCUUCUAUUAAAAUAUAUUAUUUGCAUAAUAAUGAAACUUCACGUCGUGAAGUCAGCGUUGGAAAACUAAUUCCCUCGUUUUAGUGUAUGUAUGCAUGUCAAAUGUCAAACGAGUAAAGUAGGUAUGAAAUAAUUUAUUGGACGUGGUGGUUUGUUGAAUGUCUUAAACAAUGGGUACCCAUUGAUUAUUUUAAUAUUAUUCAAAGAACUAAAAUUAUUAUGCUUUACAAAGGAUCUUCUUGGUUUAUUCUUCUUAUUUUUCCUUUCUUGUCGAAACAUUUUGCCCCGUGAUCAGUAGUAAAUUACGAUAAUAUAAAACAUGCUUUUGGAUGGAACCAAAACAUUCGACUAAGCAGUGUCAGUGAUCAUAUAACAUCAUAGUGUUAAGUAUAUGAUGUAUAAAGAACAUAUGACUUGCACCAUCACAAAGUAGUUUAUAUCGUUUGAUCAAUAAAUCUCACUAUUUAAUUAAAUGAAAUAUGAUGAAAUAUGAUGAAAUUUAAUGAUCUAAUGGUGAAAAAUAAGUUUGUGUAUGGUACAAUUCUAAUUUGCUUUUGUACAUUAGACAAAAUCAUGCAUAUCAAUCUAUCAAAUUUUCUAGAUCUUUUUUAAUAAUUUUUGAUAUAGUUUUUCUAAACAUUCAUUUACCUCUAGUGAUUUGAGUGUCCUUCCUUACUAGAAAAAUCUGAAGGUUUUCUUUCCACAUGCCCAAACCACCAGAGCCGAGUUUUCACCAUAUUUUCUAUAAUAGUCUUAAUAGUCUUACAACACUUUUAACUCAACAUUUUCAUCUCUGCUACACCUAUUUUAUUCCGGUGUUGGUUCUUUACUAUCUAACACUCUAUUGCAUACUACAUCUUUUGCCUUAUUGUUGUACAAUUAACAAUUUCCUUUAUCAUGAAAGGUACUUUUGUAUUUCAUAAAACACAUGACACCUUCAUCCAUUUAAGACACCCAUCUUGAAACUGAUUGUUUACAUAUUCUACUUCUAUGUCAUUUUGGACUAUGGAUCAAACAUAUAUAAAUUGAGCAAUGACAUUUGCACAUCUAUUUAAUGAUAACUUUGAUGACAAUUAUGUUUUUCUCUCUUCUUAUUUGGUAAAAAACAAUAUAUAUAUAUAUAUAUAUAUAUAUAUAUAUAUAUAUAUAGAGAGAGAGAGAGAUGAUAAGAACAUCAUGUAAGUAUGAGAGAACAUCAUGGUUGUAUAAAUUGUGUACCUUGCGGUAUGAUAUGUGAUGUGUGAAAUCCGCAAGUGCACGGUUCUAUUGAAGUAGUAAAAAUAUCGUUCCAUAGGGAGUUGUUGUAAUUACUGAUUUACUUUCUAAUUAAGAUUAGCUAAAAAGAAUAAAGUUUAAAAGUUUGACUGAUUAACGGUAUAAAAUUCAGAAUUAAAAACGGCUCGGGAUUAUUGGUUCGUCGUGGACAAACAACUUUCAAUCCAAACCUAUACCUUCCUCUUAUAUUAGAUUUAUUUUCUAAAUACAGAUUUCUCUAAGGUAUUUCAUAUCUCCGUUCGGUCUCCAUGAAUGUGCCUCAAUAACAACCACACAUAUUCUCAUGGUUGAUUACUAUUGAAACCCUUUAAGAACGAAACCUAUGGCCUCAAGACUUCAUAAAACUAUUCAUCUGGGGUGUUCCCAUCGAGUUUUAUGUUGUCGUGUCUAAUCACAUUUAUUUUGGGUUUGAGUUUGGUUUUACCGGAGACCCAUUUAUUUUUAUGGGUUUUCCAUUUUUAGAAACCAUACCCACCCAAUUACCUAACCCAACCCAUUUUUUGGAGUUUUUUAGGUGGGUUUGACCGGAUUUUCUUGGUUGGCCCCUAUAAACAUCCUUAGGUACACUCUUACGUAAUCAGAGACUUUGGGUAUAUAUAUGAAGUGAUCAAUGAAUUUACGGUAAAAACUUCAACUAUUUUCGGAAGUACAAUACAAUCUCAAAAUAUUUUUUUGUUAUUUCUUGUAGACGUUUGGAAUUCAUAACAAAAAAAACCAGUGGUAAUUAUAAUAAUAACAAACAAAAUGUUAAAAAUACUAGAAUACUUGGUUAAAUCUCAAAAUAGUAUUUACGCUGCCACUUUAUUAGAGUCAAUUUCAACAGCUUUUUUGAGGAUGCUGUCUUCUUCCAAGACCAUUUGAAUUGGCAUGAAACCCAUCCCAUCUGCCAUUGCAAGCAUCAUCUGCUUAGUU